CCUUGAUAUUGAGGAGAAGUUAAUAAUGUGUGCGAUGGAUUACCCUUGCAUUUACGAUGUAAAAAUUCCAGAAUAUCGCAAUGCUGAAGUAAAGGCAACUGCAUUCCUCAAAAUUGCCAAAGGAAUAGGAUGUGAUGUUGCUGAAGUAAAACAAAAGUGGACAAAGCUUAAGGAGAAAUACUGUAGAGAGCGUGGCUCAAUCAAAAAGCCAAGUGGAUCUCCUGUGGAUGAGCCGCAUACAUCAAAAUGGGCAUUGUUUGAAUGCAUUUCUUUUUAUGACAAGUAUAUACAGCGAAGAAGUCGAUCUGGGAACUUCCCUUCUACUUUACCAGACUGAUCCGAUUCCACUGGGAGCUAUAUAUCGGUUGAAGAUGUGCAGCUUUCUGAUACUGAGGAUAAGGAAAAUUCUGCAAGCCAUCCUAAUCAAGGACAAUCGAAAGAGACACCCAUAUUGAUGGCAACACCAGCAGCCAAGAAGAUUGUUGCAACACCUACAACACCCCAUAUUGUCCCCAAGGUUAUUGGCCGGCGCAAAACGGAAAUUGCUUCUGGAAACGAAUUAGAACUUCUUAACAAUUUGGGUUCCCUCUUGGAAUCAUGUAAAGACAGUACUCCAACUACAAAUUCAACCUUCAUCACCAUUGAAAAAAGUGUUUGGAAUGCUUAUGGCAUCUCAGUAGGAAAAACCCUUGCUGAGAUGCCAUUACCUAUUGCUCGGCGUGUUCGUCAAAAAAUUGAAAAUGCCGUUUUCACAACGAUGUCGCAAAAGUACUGAUUCGCACAAUUUAUUUGUGCGACAUCGAUGUGAAAAUAGCAUUUUCACAUCGAUGUCGCAACAGUUCUGAUUUGCACAAUUUAUUUCUUGAAAAAAAUCCUAGUUAUGUUUCUCUUCUCUAACUCAGCUCUUUUUACAUAGAAUGUUUAAUGUGAUGGAAUG